CCCACAUAAUCUGUUUUUCUAUCAUCUUCUUCCUCUUCCUCUUUUUCUCAGCUUCAACGACAUCUCUUCCACACCAACCCCUAUCUAAGCCAGAAAUCCCCGCGCUGUCCCGCUGCUCCUCUAGACUACUCAUAGCCAUUCGACCCGCGAGGCUCUUCGUCCACCCCGUUUUGCUCUUCACCGGCUUUGAUGGCCCCUUGGAUACCCAAACUUUCCUUGCCGCCGGCCAUUGCUCUUUCUCCUGUUCUUGGUCUCAAGGUUGGGGCACUAGUGCUAGAGGAAGCUGUGAAGUAUGGAAGGAUUGAAUUGGUGAAGUUUUUUUGGCUGAUGAUGGGCUGCGCUUUGGUUUGGGUUUUGGGGAGUGCGUAGACUGGGAUCAUUUAGAAAUUUCUUUGUUUGAAAACUUAACGCUUGCUAUAUCGGGUCAAUAUGGCUGAGUGUCAUUGCUUAAAAAUUGCUUUGUUCUUUU